UACAGAGGGUGCAAGCGUUGUUCGGAUUCACUGGGCGUAAAGGGUGCGUAGGUGGUGGGGUAAGUCUGAUGUGAAAUCUUCGAGCUUAACUCGGAAAUGGCAUUGGAUACUACUCUGCUAGAGGUUUGGAGGGGGGACUGGAAUUCUCGGUGUAGCAGUGAAAUGCGUAGAUAUCGAGAGUAACACCAGUGGCGAAGGCGAGUCCCUGGACAACACCUGACACUGAGGCACGAAAGCUAGGGGAGCAAACAGG
rnacentral:rRNA from 1 species